AGCGACUCAAAAUUAGCGUUUUUUAUAUCAUUUUCCAUUUAAAUUGAAACGCCCAACAUUUAUUUCGAUUAAAAAUUAUUAUAUUUUAAACUUUUAAUAUUAUGUAUGGCAAAACUAUUUUAAUCGUUUUUAUGAUUUUUUGGUAUAUUGAAACAACUGACUUUCAAAUUUUCAAUACUUAAUUAAGGCUGCCAGCUCUAAAUUAAUAAAUGAUUAUAAUCAUAAUAACAGCACUACUACUACUGUUUUCGAUACCUUCUCAAUGAAAAUUCACAAAUUUAAUUCUUAGUUUACAUCUUGAGCAACGAGAAUGCAAUAAAAUUUUAAUUAUGAAAGUGUUGGCCUUAAGAAGCGAGCUAAAUAUCUUGCGCAACGGUGAUUCUUCAAGAGAAUUGAUAAAGACUUUAAUUACCCAGCACCUAGCACCCAGCAAAAAAGAUAGCGCAGUUGAAAAAACAACGACUUUGGGACACUGAUUAAAUCGUGUUGGACAAAAGAACACAAGUAGCAUUUUGGGAACAUGUUUGCCAACAAAAUGGAUCUGCUUUCGCAUUAACCGAAGUUAAUUUUUAAAUUGUAGAACCUUACAAAGCAUUUUGCAUUACAACCUUUCUUUGCGAAAUUGUGCAAUGCAUUUUUUUACGUUUAUGAAGGGCUCCGAGCAUUGUCCUAGUAAUAAUAUAAAUAAUUAAAAAUAAAUAAAAUGUAAAUGAAAUAACAACUGAAAUUCAAUAUAUAACACAUAUUUUAUUAUAAAUUACUUACUUCAUCGGCGAACCUUCCGAUUUAAAUUUUUCAAUGCAAUGCCUGCAAAGUAACACUUAUAGUAUACAAAUUUAGACAGCUCAUGCGCAUGAAUUAGGGCUGUUAUGCAUUUAUAAGUUUCAUACUUCCCGCAUUAACGCAGUGGCGAAUUACCAUGGACUGCAUGUAUGCUUUACAUAUUGCAUUUAUGAAAGCAGCCAACGUUCAAGUAAAUGAACCAUAGAUGCAGAUUUUUUGUGGUAAAAGAAAAUGAAGGAGUUCCCUUUAAGCACUCGUACCACAUGCUACUUACAUACAUUCUGUUUGUUAAAAAUAUCUUUUGAAAAUAU
rnacentral:lncRNA from 1 species